UAAUGGGAAUGACACUAUAGGAAAUAUAUUGCCAUCUGCCCUGCUGCUAUACCCUAAGGACCAUAGGGCCUUUCCAUUUGAUUUGUAGCUGAAUCUUUCCACAUAUAUUCUUUCCCCUAUUAGGAUAAUUUAUCCUUGAGAACAGGGCAUUACUGUUUCACCUUACUGUUUGUAUCUCUAGCAUUGAGCCCAUGUUUUGUUCAUAGUAAGUGCUUAAUAGAUGCUUAAUCCUUCCUUCCCUAUCAGCUCUUGUGCAUUUGAAUCCUUCUGGGAGACCAACUCAGGAUAGAGAAUUAGUUCCAGAUUAUCUCUCUCCCUCCACCCAUUGAGAAGGCAAAAAAAAAAUGCAAAACCAUUACAAAUAUGAAGUCAGGCAAAAACAAAUUAUUCAUGUUCUGAAGAAAAAAAGGAAGGACAGAGGGUAGUAAAGAAGGAAGUAAAAGAGAAAGAAAGAGCAAGCAAAAGCAAGAAAGAAAGAGAAAGAAAAGAACCAUGCGUCUCUCUGCACUCUGAUUCACCAUUUCCCUAUCUGGAGAGAUACCCUGAUGAUUAAUGAGACUUCUUAAAAGGAAGAGAUACUGUCUUUCCCUUUGAAGUGCUGCUUUACAAGAAUAACUUUAAAUAUAAGGCAGUAAAAAUUCUGUUCUCUUUCCUGCCUCUUUCUUCCUCAAACUGGAAUAAAGAAGAGAUUAUUCAU
rnacentral:lncRNA from 1 species